rnacentral:ncRNA from 1 species
GAUGAUGUACCGCCGGGUAGAUGAUUAUAGCGUCCUAAUCCAUUCCGUUAGGCCUUAGAAGGAAUGGAGCGGGGCGCUUUUGUUGU